GACGAACGCUGGCGGCGUGCUUAACACAUGCAAGUCACGGGGGCCGCAAGGGUCAACCGGCGAACGGGUGGCGUAACACGUGAGCGACCUGCCCAGUUGCGGGGGAGUAGCCGGCCCAACGGCCGGGUAAUACCGCAUACGCUUCCUUGGGGGCGAUACCUGGGGAAGGAAACCUACGGGCGAUUGGAGGGGCUCGCGGCCUAUCAGCUAGUUGGCGAGGUAACGGCUCACCAAGGCGAUGACGGGUAGCUGGUCUGAGAGGAUGGCCAGCCACAUUGGGACUGAGAGACGGCCCAGACUCCUACGGGAGGCAGCAGUGGGGAAUCUUGCGCAAUGGCCGAAAGGCUGACGCAGCGACGCCGCGUGGAGGAUGACGCCCUUCGGGUGGUAAACUCCUGUUGCCCGGGACGGAAUGCCUGUUUCGUACAGGAGUGACGGUACCGGGU
rnacentral:rRNA from 1 species